rnacentral:rRNA from 12 species
UCAAGUGGCCCCACCAUUCCUGGGAGAGCCCGUUACCAUCCGAUCUCAGAAGCUAAGUAGGGCCAAACCAGGUUAAUACUGGGAUGGGAGACCACCUUUGAAGACCAGGGGCCUUGUGUG